UCUCCCUGGCCCGGUGAGCGUCGCCUUGUGUGGCGUUUCAUUCGCGUGCUAGAUCUUUGACCUUCCAUCCUUUCCAGGGAGCCUUGUGUGCCGUUUACUCGGUGCGCUUGUUUUGCGAUCUGGAUCAUUUACUUUGAAAAAAUUAGAGUGUUUAAAGCAGGCUUACGCCGUGAAUACAUUAGCAUGGAAUAAUAAUCUAGGACUUCGGUUCUAUUUUGUUGGUUUCUAUAACUGAAGUAAUGAUUGAUAGGGAUAGUUGGGGGUGCUAGUAUUGGCCGGCCAGAGGUGAAAUUCUUGGAUUCGGUCAAGACUAACUUAUGCGAAAGCAUU
rnacentral:rRNA from 1 species